ensembl:lncRNA
GGAGACUUGAGCUGUGUUGUUUUUAGAAAACUGCUGCCAAUCUCUCUUCCCCUUUCCCUGCUGAGUGUGCAUUUCCCAGCUUGGACCCACCGGGCCAACAAAUAAAGCCACCAGAUCGUGCACUCAGAGAAGGACUGCCCCCACUCUGCAACCCCGCCUCCCCGGCUCCCUCCCGCCUUUCCCCGGGAAGGGCUCCUCCAGCGGGUCAACGCGCGGCAAACGCCUGUCUCCUUCCUUGCUCACCAGCUGAGCGUUUUUGCCAGCCUUCCUCCAAGCAACUUAGAAGACAUGCUCUAUGUACUCUGGGGGAAAUAUCAUAUUUAAGUUCUGCCUCUGAUUUCUCUGGUCUUAGGCGGUCUGAGGCUUUUCUAGACUCCUUCGUUCCCACAUAGUACUGGGUAAAUGGAGCCCUAGCACGCUGAUUGAUAAUUGCCCACUAGUGGGUUGGGCCAGAGCAAAUUGUCCUUGCUAACAACCUCUUUCCUCUGCUGUUGGAUUCCACUAAGUGCUGAAAAGGGUCAGUUUUAGAUUUCUGCAAUUCCCCAACAAAGGAGACAGACCGACCUUUACAUGAAAAUAAGUGAUAGACAGAGGAAGAAUUUGGCAGCCUUCCUAGGUUGAUUUUAUUUUGGUCUCAUGAACACAUCACUCUUCCUGACAUCACAAAUCCCCAGACUAGAUAGGACCCAGUUCCACUGAAGAGAAGAUUCAUCAACCCAAAAUGCGGGCAGAGGCCCUGGUGGGCAGUACCCGGCCCCAUGGCUCCCACGCAGGGGCUGCUGCGGGAAUGAGACGCUGGCUUCCCCCUCCUGAGCUGGGCGGGAGCUGGCCCGUCAUUAAGAACAGACUGGGUGGUAAAUGUUUGAUUCCUUUCAUCAAGCUCUCAUCAAUUUGUCAGAAAUAAGAUGAGACCCAUUGCUCCCAGGAGGCUACUUGAGCCACUAACUUCCUCAAAGUAUUUCAGAUUGAUGCAAUAUGGAGAUUCAGAUGACUCCGGCGAUUACAUGAAAAAUGGAUUACAAGUGGAUCAAGAGAAGAAGUAAAGAGACCAGAGUUCAGGAUGGACCUGAGUAUAACCAGCCUCGAAAGGCACCGCUUUUCCCUCUGGCGCCGCACGUGGAAGAACUGAGAUCCCCGGCGAGUUCCAAUCUGGCAAGGUUGUGCAGCAGUUCUGUGACAGAAUAAAAUAUGGGAAAUUGAUGUUUUGAAUUUAGGUUUGUCUUAAAGAAGAUGGAACGAAAGCGUCAUAAUAAAAUAAGAAGGAGGGGCCCUAACAACUGAGGACAUCAAUUUGAAGAAAAGGGUCAGAGGAAACAGGUUUUAUCAUUGGGGCCAGGGAUGGCUUCGUGGUCAAGAGGGGAGCAGCAGGGUGGAGUUUAGAAGACCUGGGUGAUAUGAUCAGUAAGCCGUUUUGAGAAUUGCUCAGAACUCCAUUUUAUCUUUUUUAAAAAACAACCUUUAAAAUCAGAAACCUUGGCAUAGCACUCUCCAACUGUGCCACAGAAGGACAUGCGAUGUUGGUACUUUUUCCUGUCUAUUUUUGUCUCCUACCAAAUCAUAG